rnacentral:rRNA from 1 species
UACGGAGGGUGCAAGCGUUGCUCGGAAUUAUUGGGCGUAAAGGGUUGGUAGGUGGUCUCAUUUGUCAGGGGUGAAAGCCUUGGGCUUAACCCAAGAAGUGCCCCUGAAACGGUGAGACUAGAGUACUGGAGAGGGUCGUGGAAUACCCGGUGUAGCGGUGAAAUGCGUAGAGAUCGGGUGGAACACCAGAGGCGAAGGCGGCGACCUGGACAGUGACUGACACUCAACAACGAAAGCGUGGGGAGCAAACAGG